AUUUAAUCAACAGAAUUUAAGGACGACUGCCUAAAUCCAGAGCCACACUCCAGUUCAGUAGGUGGCGGUAAUGCACCUUUCAGCUAGUUUGCCAACCGCCAAAAAGAAGAAGGCGAAGAAGAAGCCUCCCCCUGCCUCGUAGGAAACCUUUACUGCGCAUGCGCCGGCGUUCUCCGACCCGCCAAAUCGCCGGUGUAGUAGUACAUUUCAAAUUUUUAACGUUCCCCAAAGGAUCUGAGAGCAAAUAUACGUCGCUAGUGUUGCCACAAAUCAACCACAAGUUUAUUUUACCUCACCUGUAAGCUUUUUCUUGACGGCGAACAAUGAACAAGGCGAACAAGGUGGAAAAGAAACCGGUUUUAACCAACGGAGUCAGUUAAUCCGUUUCGUGAGACGACGGGAUUCGGCUUCAUCGGAUGUCUUAUUUUGCCUCAGUGGGACUUCAACCUGCAUCCAUUCGGGUAGGUGUGUUUUCUGUAUUUUAAUGUCUGGUUUGUGUUGUCGCUCACUUGUUGAAGCUCUCCUCACGUUUUAUUGUACAAAAUAAGCUAAAUCCUUCAGUAACUGUCGCUAACCGUCGGUAACCGUCGUUUCAAUCUACAGGCACCUGAGACGUUAGGCCUGCUAGCUUAACCAGGCGAGCAACCGUCAGCAAACACAUUAGCUGCUUAGCCGCGAUCGAAAAGCGACCAAUGGCGCUGUGUGCCGCUGCUCAAGGCUACUUUCUUGUUCAAUAAGCCUAAACACUUAAAUGUAACCUGAUAUUUAGCUAUUUAAAAUAUAGGCCUAUUUUUUGCUAGUUAUCACUGUUUGCAAAAAAAUCUUGAUAGAGCAACCAGCACAAAUCACAUUUAAUGAAGAAGUUGAGGAAUUUGCAUUAAAAGCCCUUGCCGAUAAUGGGCACGUUUUAUUCAGGCAGAAUAAAUUCAGUUGUUUUCUUGAAUGUUUUUGUUUCACUUGUCCUGACAUAAAGACUUAAAAAAUUGAGAAAGAUGAAGUUUGUCUAAGUGAAUGUCUAUUUACCCAAGAAUUUAAGGCCCUGUUUGAAGUAGGCCUACAACAAGACGGUUUCUCUGUCUUUACUCACAAGGAAUAGCUUACUGGAGGAGUUAAAAACAAGGGCAUUGUCACUGUUCUCUGGGAUUUACGAAUAAUAGUUCAUAUUGUAUGGUAGUCAACAUAACUUAUAAGAGCAGAAUCCUAUCAAACAAGCAUACUGGUACCGCUGCAGUGCCAAAGGGAAGUGCAGCCCAUUGCCUAUAUUAGCUUUAGGGUCCUAUGAUUUCUGCAUUAGCGGAAUUGGCCUAUAAAAAACGAAAUCUACAGUUGCACAUUAGUUGGUUUUCUGUUUUUUUUUUUGUGUUUUCCAACCACAUCAGUUUAAAAUGUGUAACUGGAACUUUUCUGAGAAGUACAAUACUAAUGCUGCACAUUCUGUGAUUUCUAGGUUUUCCAAAGGAUGAGGAGUAUCUAACACCAAGCUGUAUCUGCUGUUACACCGCCUCUGUGCUUCAUGAGAGAUGUGAUUGCCUGUGGAUGACUCUGGACGUGAUAACCAUCAUUCUGCUCAUCUUUUGAGGCUGCUUUUACAGUGAGUAAAAAAACAUCUAUAACGAGAAAUGUACGUUUGACAUAUUAGGGCGACAGUAGCUCAGGAGGUAAAACGGUCAUCCAAUAACUAGAAGGUUGGCGGGUUUUGAUUCCCCCCUAUCCCUACUCUGUCCAUUGUGUCUUUGGGCAAGACACUUAGCCCACCUUGCUCGCAGUGUGUGUCUUCUGCUAGUGUAUGAUUGUGAGUGUUGUGUGGUGGUGGUCAGAGAGGCUGUAGGUGCACAUUAGCAGCCACAGUUCAGUCAGUUUGCUCCAGGGAAGCUGUGACUACUAAGGUAGUUUACCACCACCAGGGUGUGACUGUGAGUGAAUGAAUGAUGUAUCCAAUGUAAAGCGCUUUGAGGGUCUCUGAUAAAGGGCUGUAAAAUCUGAUGCAUUGUUGUUAUUAUUAUUAUAAUGAAUAAUAGAAUCUGGGAGAUGACUUCAGCUCUAGAAGACAUCUGUUCUCUUUUCUAUCCAGAGUUAUUGCAUUAUGAGAGCUUUUAAUGACACUUAAUGUCAUUUUUAUAUUUCUGAAAUCAAGUGUCUUGAUGCUGAAACUUUGAAUUGCUUCAUGUCUACUGAAGUAGUUUUAACUACACAGCUAUAUGUAGACCCUCACUGAGGGGUGGCCUGAUACAACUUUUUUUUACUUCUGAUACGAUACUGAUAUUGUAGCCUUCAGUAUUGAUUGGUACCGAUAUUGAUUGGAUAUUAGUGCAAACUUGUGCAUGACAGGUUUGCAGUCAGCUGCAAUGUCUUUUUCAGACUUGAAUGAUAAAUAUUGCCACACGACCCAUCACUCCUCACUCUUACUUGUUAGUACCUUGGUACACACUGUUGUAAUGAUCAAGUGGGCUUUGCAUGCUGAAACCGACCACUGCUAGUUAGAAGUGCUGUAGUGAAGUCUGGAAUGGAUUGCUUGUAUUGGAGUGCUUAUGGGAGAUUGUAGAUGCAAGCCGAUAUGAUCCAGUAUUCAUUUUUUUCACUGAUAUCGGACCGAUAUCUGAUAUUUGAUAUCAAUAUCAGCACAGGACAACCCUACCCUUACUAUUAAAAGGAGAAGACGAAAACAGAGAACUGAUGAUGAACAUGGUCAGAGUGUUUCUCAGCUUUAAAGUUUUUAACAACUUAAGGGGACUGAGUAAAGUCAUUACCGUGGAAGAUGGUGGAGCUGGAAGCCAGCUGGUAGUACUGAUGCUUGAAUUUUAAGUAAUGAACAACAGAAAUGCAAAAGGCUUGUGUGUUUUACAACCAAGAAAAGUAUUUUUUGAUCCCUAACUUAAAGAAUCCGAUGAUCUAAUUAAAUAUGUUGUUGUCUCCAGUCUUGAUUCUGGUAAUAGAGUAUUGACUGUCUGUAGAUGUUAAGUCCUGAACUGAUACUUUUGUUUUCUUUAUCUAUAAAACUGCAAAGUAAAUGCCACAAGUGUAUAAAAAUGUUAUUUGAUUAUAACCCCACAAGCAUUAGGGCUGUGCCCUUAGUGUAAUAUGUGUAUUUUUUUAUAUGAUAGCAAAGCAUAAAAUAAAUCUUUUGACAACUUGCUGCCCCAAGGAGUUUCUUUGUUCUUUUUAAAAUAUUUUCCAGUGCAACUCUAAUGUACUGUAAUGUGUAUGGUACUUAUCUUUGUGUGUAUGUCUUUGUAGAGAAAACAUAAUGACUGCCUUUUUUAGCUAUAUCUCAAGUGAGUGACUGAUGUUGUCCUUGAUACCUGUUUGAUGUGGUUGGAACAGUGUGGUUGCUGCCAGCUCUCUUUUUUUCUUUUUUUGUAAGAUAGCCUCUGGUGUGACAGACCAAUCAGUAAUUGAUAGGAAACCAAUCCAAAACAGAGUGACAGUGCAACAUUUAUUUGAUUCAGUUCAAGUAAACCUUACAUGGAGAGUCCCUAGAAUGUAUACAAAAAGGUCAUUGUAAUUACUUUACAUCUCCUGCGUCAUCAUGCACCCUAAUCUAUUUUUAUCACCAUGGCAGUUGUCCUUUUUUCUGUGAAAAAGUCCCUCUUAAAUUUAAACACAAUAUGUCCUCAAAAUAUCAGAUGAAUUUUGUAAGGUGCGAGCUCAGAGAGUGGCCCUUGUGUUUUACUGGCUACUGAUCCAGUUUUCCUUCACUGUUAUUCAGCUUGUAAAUCUAUCUCUUUUUUUAAUGAUUACCACCAAACAGGACAAAACUGAUUAUAUGUGACAGUUGGGACAGCAGAAGGAAAAUGCUCCACAGGCCUUCACUGAGAAGUUAGCAUAAAUCACAAGGUUGAGGAAUGAUCCCUCUAAAAAAAAAACUCCUAUGACACAAACUCCUACUCUACCUGUAAAAACACAUUGUUGAUUUAAGGCAGGGCUUUGACAGAAUUCUAUUUUUUACAUUUUGUUCAUGGUAUUGUGUUUAAUCAAUGUUUUAUUCUUUGUAUGCAUUUUAAGAGCAACUGGAAAAAAAGUCAGUUUCCUUGUAUGUGCACAUAUUUGGUCAUUAAAGCUGAUUAUCAUGGUGUUGAUGUAUGACUUUCUAUUGAUAAACUUGUGGGUACUUUGCUUUCUAUGACUGCUUUAGACUGUGGCGUAAAAUGCUAACUGAGAAUGUAGUAUUUCCUAUUAAUCUGUUUUACAGGACAAGUCCUCUCAUGCUAUCUGAGCAAUCUGUUGUAUCUGUCCAUGGUCCUGAAAAAACAUAGUGCAACUAGAAACUGUAUUUGAGCUUAAGCAUGAAUUUGACAACUAUUUGAUACUGCAAUCACUAUCACUUCUGCUGCUGGUACUUUUACUAAUAAUGCUGCAACUACUACUAGGAAUAACACUGAUUAUGCUAACACUGCUCUUGCAGUUCUUGCUGCUAUACUAACCUUCAGUGAAAUUGAUGAUGGUUAUGGAAAUCAUACUUCAAAGGAAUCUUAUUUCCCCGCUCAUGAUGCAUUGAUAAUGGGUAUGUUGAAAAAGUAACAAUGCCAUUUGUAUAACAAUAAUGUUUUUUUUUUUGUUUGUUUUUAUUAAAACGUAUGCCUUACUUUGUAAGCAAUGUGAAUUAUACACAUUCUUUUGAUGAUUUCUUGCUGUUUAUAGAUGACAUACUUUCUCAUGUCUUUAACAACCUUCAAAGCCCGUCACCACUUUCAUGGUGUGUUCUAAAUUUGUUGUAUUUGUAAAUAGGGAUUCUUAAUAAAAACUGG